CGUUCUCGGGGCGAGGUGCAAAUCCUCACCGGCGGUGAAAGCCCGCGACUCCGCUUAGGUGGAUUGACUCGGUGAAAUUCCGGGGCCGACGGUAAAAGUCCGGAGGGGAGAGGAC
rnacentral:ncRNA from 1 species